UACGGGGGGGGGACCGAAGAACCUUACCAGGUCUUGACAUCUCCUGACCGCCCUGGAGACAGGGUCUUCCCUUCGGGGACAGGAUGACAGGUGGUGCAUGGUUGUCGUCAGCUCGUGUCGUGAGAUGUUGGGUUAAGUCCCGCAACGAGCGCAACCCUUGGUUCUAGUUGCCAGCAUUCAGUUGGGCACUCUAGAGCGACUGCCGGCGACAAGUCGGAGGAAGGUGGGGAUGACGUCAAAUCAUCAUGCCCCUUAUGACCUGGGCUACACACGUGCUACAAUGGAUGGUACAAAGGGCAGCGAAGCGGCGACGCAUAAGCGAAUCCCAGAAAACCAUUCUCAGUUCGGAUUGCAGGCUGCAACUCGCCUGCAUGAAGCCGGAAUCGCUAAGUAAUCGCGGAUCAGCAUGCCGUCGUCU
rnacentral:rRNA from 1 species